UACGGAGGGUGCGAGCGUUGUCCGGAAUCACUGGGCGUAAAGGGCGCGUAGGCGGCGCGGGCAGUCAACGGUGAAAGCUCGGGGCUCAACCCCGAGUCGGCCGUCGAUACUCCCGUGCUCGAGCACUGUAGAGGCAGGUGGAAUUCCGGGUGUAGCGGUGGAAUGCGUAGAGAUCCGGAAGAACACCGGUGGCGAAGGCGGCCUGCUGGGCAGUAGCUGACGCUGAGGCGCGACAGCGUGGGGAGCAAACAGG
rnacentral:rRNA from 1 species